UUGAGCAAGUUUCCAAUUCAAAAGCAAAACCUGUUGGAAUUGAUCAAACAUUUUCAAUCCAAAGUGUAUCACGCGGGAAUCAACUGUCCGUAGGAUUCUUUGAUAGAAAGAGAAAUCACAAAAAAGGGUAUGUUGCUGCCAUUUUGAAAGGAUUAAGAAGCACCGAAGUAAUGUCUAAACCCAAUGAUUUAAAACAAAGAUAAAGGAUCCCAGAACAAGGAAACACCCUUUUAAUUGU
rnacentral:lncRNA from 1 species